CAUGUCGAAGCUGAUAUCAGCAUUUAACUGUUAAUUAAAAGGUAGCCUGUAAAGGUCGAUAUGA
rnacentral:tRNA from 1 species